CUGGCCGAGGCCGUCGAUUCU
rnacentral:miRNA from 2 species